rnacentral:rRNA from 1 species
GAUGAACGCUAGCUACAGGCUUAACACAUGCAAGUCGAGGGGCAGCAUAAACUAGCAAUAGUUUGAUGGCGACCGGCGCACGGGUGAGUAACACGUAUCCAACCUUCCGUUUACACGGGGAUAGCCUUCUGAAAGGGAGAUUAAUACCCGAUAGUAUAUAAGUACCGCAUGAUACUUAUAUUAAAUGAAUUUCGGUAAACGAUGGGGAUGCGUUCCAUUAGAUAGUAGGUGAGGUAACGGCUCACCUAGUCUGCGAUGGAUAGGGGUUCUGAGAGGAAGGUCCCCCACACUGGUACUGAGACACGGACCAGACUCCUACGGGAGGCAGCAGUGAGGAAUAUUGGUCAAUGGGCGGAAGCCUGAACCAGCCAAGUAGCGUGAAGGAUGACUGCCCUAUGGGUUGUAAACUUCUUUUAUAAGGGAAUAACCAUAUCUACGUGUAGAUAUCUGUAUGUACCUUACGAAUAAGCAUCGGCUAACUCCGUGCCAGCAGCCGCAGUAAAAC